rnacentral:piRNA from 1 species
AUCGAUGUGGUGCUCCGGAGUUCUCUUCGGGCCAGGG